UACGUAGGGGCCGAGCGUUGUCCGGAGUUAUUGGGCGUAAAGCGCGCGCAGGCGGCCUCGCGCGCCCGACGUGAAAGCCCCCGGCUUAACCGGGGAGGGUCGUUGGGGACGGCGGGGCUUGAGGGCGGGAGAGGGCGGUGGAAUUCCCGGUGUAGUGGUGAAAUGCGUAGAUAUCGGGAGGAAUACCAGUGGCGAAGGCGGCUGCCUGGCCUGUUCUUGACGCUGAGGCGCGAAAGCUGGGGGAGCAAACGGG
rnacentral:rRNA from 1 species